UGUCUAGGCUCGCACAUCGAUGAAGAACGCUGCGAACUGCGAUACGUAAUGCGAAUUGCAGGAUUCAGUGAGUCAUCGAAAUUUUGAACGCAUAUUGCACUUUCGGGUUAUGCCUGGAAGUAUGCCUGUAUCAGUGUCCG
rnacentral:rRNA from 1 species